rnacentral:rRNA from 1 species
AUUGAACGCUGGCGGCAGGCCUAACACAUGCAAGUCGAACGGAAAGGCCCUGCUUUUGUGGGGUGCUCGAGUGGCGAACGGGUGAGUAACACGUGAGUAACCUGCCCUUGACUUUGGGAUAACUUCAGGAAACUGGGGCUAAUACCGGAUAGGAGCUCCUGCUGCAUGGUGGGGGUUGGAAAGUUUCGGCGGUUGUGGAUGGACUCGCGGCUUAUCAGCUUGUUGGUGGGGUAGUGGCUUACCAAGGCUUUGACGGGUAGCCGGCCUGAGAGGGUGACCGGCCACAUUGGGACUGAGAUACGGCCCAGACUCCUACGGGAGGCAGCAGUGGGGAAUAUUGCACAAUGGGCGGAAGCCUGAUGCAGCAACGCCGCGUGCGGGAUGACGGCCUUCGGGUUGUAAACCGCUUUCGCCUGUGACGAAGCGUGAGUGACGGUAAUGGGUAAAGAAGCACCGGCUAACUACGUG